UAACGCGUAAGGAACUUGCCUCUUGGACUGGGACAACUGUUGGAAACGACAGCUAAUACCGGAUAUUAUGAGAUUCUCGCAUGAGAAACUUAUGAAAGCUAUAUGCGCCAAGAGAGAGCCUUGCGUUCCAUUAGCUAGUUGGUGGGGUAACGGCCCACCAAGGCGACGAUGGAUAGCCGGCCUGAGAGGGUGAACGGCCACAAGGGGACUGAGACACGGCCCUUACUCCUACGGGAGGCAGCAGUGGGGAAUAUUGGACAAUGGGCCACAAGCCUGAUCCAGCAAUUCUGUGUGCACGAUGAAGGUCUUCGGAUUGUAAAGUUGCUUUCAGUUGGGAAGAAGAAAGUGACGGUACCAACAGAAGAAGCGACGGCUAAAUACGUGCCAGCAGCCGCGGUAAUACGUAUGUCGCAAGCGUUAUCCGGAUUUAUUGGGCGUAAAGCGCGUCUAGGCGGAAAAAUAAGUCUGAUGUUAAAAUGCGGGGCUCAACUCCGUAUUGCGUUGGAAACUGUUUUUCUAGAGUACUGGAGAGGUGGGCGGAACUACAAGUGUAGAGGUGAAAUUCGUAGAUAU
rnacentral:rRNA from 1 species